AGCUUCAAUAGAGAGAGAGAGAGGAGAGAGAUGAGGGAAGAGGAGAUCCCUCUAUUAGCAGAGGGAAGCGAUUCUGUGAUCCAAAGGAUAUGGGUUGAAUCGAGGCGGAUAUGGCAGAUCACAAGCCC